rnacentral:ncRNA from 2 species
ACAAUUAAAAAUUUCCAGGGUGCUUAUUAAAGUUAAAAGGAAAUUCCGUUAAAAUCGGAAACGAGCCCGUCGCUGUAAGUGGGGAUGAAAAUUGCAAAAUGCCACUGUCUAAUUAAGAUGGGAAGGUGCAAUUACUAAGAUGAUCCACAAGUCAGAAAACCUGCCCUGUUAAAAUAUUCUGC